rnacentral:rRNA from 1 species
UAAUACGAAGGUGGCAAGCGUUGUUCGGAUUUACUGGGCGUACAGGGAGCGUAGGCGGUUGGGUAAGCCCUCCGUGAAAUCUCCAGGCUUAACCUGGAAAGUGCAGAGGGGACUGCUCAGCUAGAGGAUGGGAGAGGAGCGCGGAAUUCCCGGUGUAGCGGUGAAAUGCGUAGAGAUCGGGAGGAAGGCCGGUGGCGAAGGCGGCGCUCUGGAACAUUUCUGACGCUGAGGCUCGAAAGCGUGGGGAGCAAACAGGAUUAGAUACCCUGGUAGUCCACGCCUUAAACGAUGGAUACUAAGUGUCGGCGGGUUACCGCCGGUGCCGCAGCUAACGCAGUAAGUAUCCCGCCUGGGAAGUACGGCCGCAAGGUUGAAACUCAAAUGAAUUG